UGGUCAAGUUAUUAAGGGUGCAGGGUGGAUGCCUUGGCACUAGGAGCCGAUGAAGGACGUGAUAAGCUGCGAUAAGCUUCGGGGAGUUGCACGUAAACUUUGAUCCGAAGAUUUCCGAAUGAGGAAACUCACUUAGAGUAAUGUCUAAGUAUCAUUAAGUGAAUACAUAGCUUAAUGAGGGGAACUCAGGGAACUGAAACAUCUAAGUACCUGAAGGAAGAGAAAGAAAUUCGAUUCCGUAAGUAGCGGCGAGCGAACGCGGAUUAGCCCAAACCAAUAAAGUUUUCUUUAUUGGGGUUGCGGACAUAUCAUAACGAAGAGGUAUCGUAAUUGAAGAGGUUUGGAAAGACCCACCACAGAAGGUAAUAGUCCUGUAUGUUAAACGAGAAGACUUCAGAUAUGAUCCAGAGUACCACGGGACACGUGAAACCCUGUGGGAAGCAGGAGGGACCACCCUCCAAGGC
rnacentral:rRNA from 1 species